rnacentral:rRNA from 1 species
UACGGGGGGGGCAAGCGUUGUUCGGAAUUACUGGGCGUAAAGGGCUCGUAGGUGGCCCCAUAAGUCAGACGUGAAAUCCCUCGGCUCAACCGAGGAACUGCGUCUGAGACUGCGGGGCUUGAAUCCGGGAGAGGGAUGCGGAAUUCCAGGUGUAGCGGUGAAAUGCGUAGAUAUCUGGAGGAACACCGGUGGCGAAGGCGGCAUCCUGGACCGGUAUUGACGCUGAGGAGCGAAAGCCAGGGGAGCAAACGGG